AGUGAACGCUGGCGGUAGGCCUAGCACAUGCAAGUCGAACGGCAGCACAGUAAGAGCUUGCUCUUACGGGUGGCGAGUGGCGGACGGGUGAGGAAUACAUCGGAAUCUACUUUUUCGUGGGGGAUAACGUAGGGAAACUUACGCUAAUACCGCAUACGACCCACGGGUGAAAGCAGGGGAUCUUCGGACCUUGCGCGAUUGAAUGAGCCGAUGUCGGAUUAGCUAGUUGGCGGGGUAAAGGCCCACCAAGGCGACGAUCCGUAGCUGGUCUGAGAGGAUGAUCAGCCACACUGGAACUGAGACACGGUCCAGACUCCUACGGGAGGCAGCAGUGGGGAAUAUUGGACAAUGGGCGCAAGCCUGAUCCAGCCAUACCGCGUGGGUGAAGAAGGCCUUCGGGUUGUAAAGCCCUUUUGUUGGGAAAGAAAAGCAGCAGGUUAAUACCCCGCUGUUCUGACGGUACCCAAAGAAUAAGCACCGGCUAACUUCGUG
rnacentral:rRNA from 1 species